rnacentral:rRNA from 1 species
CCUACGGGUGGCAGCAGUGAGGAAUAUUGGGCAAUGGGCGCAAGCCUGACCCAGCAACGCCGCGUGAAGGAAGAAGGCUUUCGGGUUGUAAACUUCUUUUGUCAGGGACGAAGCAAGUGACGGUACCUCACUUAUACGCCACGGCUAACUACGUGCCAGCAGCCGCGGUAAUACGUAGGUGGCAAGCGUUAUCCGGAUUUACUGGGUGUAAAGGGCGUGUAGGCGGGACUGCAAGUCAGAUGUGAAAACCACGGGCUCAACCUGUGGCCUGCAUUUGAAACUGUAGGUCUUGAGUACUGGAGAGGCAGACGGAAUUCCUAGUGUAGCGGUGAAAUGCGUAGAUAUUAGGAGGAACACCGGUGGCGAAGGCGGUCUGCUGGACAGCAACUGACGCUGAGGCGCGAAAGCGUGGGGAGCAAACAGGAUUAGAUACCCCAGUAGUC